UAGACGUGACAUAAAUGUGUCCUAGACAGACCCUUCUUUUCUUAGUGAAACAUCAACUUUCCAAAGACAAUAUUCCAAACUGGACAGUUGAUACAUAGAGCUAUUUUACUUUAACAUUUAAAGUGUGGCUGCAAAUCUGGGAUGCAGGAGGUGAAAAUUCAUUGUCUAAUCUGUUUCUCAGUUUCCUCUUUCAGAAACGAGAGAUUUUUCAAGACCUUGCUCCACUGCUGUGGCACUCCUUUGGCACUGUUGCUGCACUGCUCCAGGAGAUUGUGUCAAUUUACCCUUCACUUUCACCUCCUACUUUGUCGCCAGUUGCAUCAAACCGUGUCUGCAAUGCACUUGCACUUCUUCAGUGUGUUGCUUCACACCCUGAGACCAGGAUCCCGUUCUUGAAUGCUCACAUCCCACUGUACCUGUACCCGUUCCUGAAUACUACCAGCAAG